GUGGGGAAUCUUGCGCAAUGGGCGAAAGCCUGACGCAGCCAUGCCGCGUGAAUGAUGAAGGUCUUAGGAUUGUAAAAUCCUUUCACCGGUGAAGAUAAUGACUGUAGCCGGAGAAGAAGCCCCGGCUAACUUCGUGCCAGCAACCGCGGUAAUACGAAGGGGGCUAGCGUUGCUCGGAUUUACUGGGCGUAAAGGGCGCGUAGGCGGACAUUUAAGUCAGGGGUGAAAUCCCGGGGCUCAACCUCGGAACUGCCUUUGAUACUGGGUGUCUUGAGUAUGAGAGAGGUGUGUGGAACUCCGAGUGUAGAGGUGAAAUUCGUAGAUAUUCGGAAGAACACCAGUGGCGAAGGCGACACACUGGCUCAUUACAGACGCUGAGGCGCGAAAGCGUGGGGAGCAAACAGGAUUAGAAACCCGUGUAGUCC
rnacentral:rRNA from 1 species